rnacentral:tRNA from 1 species
GGUGGCUCAGUGGUAGAGCGCUUGCCUUACAUGCCUGGGGCCCUGGGUUCGAUUCCUCAGCACCA